CCUACGGGAGGCAGCAGUGGGGAAUAUUGGACAAUGGGCGCAAGCCUGAUCCAGCCAUGCCGCGUGUGUGAAGAAGGCCUUAUGGUUGUAAAGCACUUUAAGCGAGGAGGAGGCUACUUUAGUUAAUACCUAGAGAUAGUGGACGUUACUCGCAGAAUAAGCACCGGCUAACUCUGUGCCAGCAGCCGCGGUAAU
rnacentral:rRNA from 2 species